UCCAAACACAAAAAUGAGCUACACGGAGCAACAUCCUACAUCCUACUUUAAAGAAAGAAAGAGAACUCCAUGGGUUUCCGCGCUCCUUUCAACCAAACUCAGUCAGCUCAUGGCUCCUUCAUCUCCCAGUCUGCUGUUCCUGCACCAGCUCAGAAGCAGCUGACAAUCUACAUGUUGGAGUCAGCUGAUCUGGACAAACAGAUCAGGAUGCUGUAUGAUUUAAAAUCUACCCGACUAGGGCCAAACAUAUAACCAGGUUGGUUAUCGAAGGAGAGAACAACUACGACCUGGUCAACUUGAUUGCAGAGCCCAACCGUCUGCAUGCCCAUGUUGAGCAGAUUGCUGCUGUGCUUCGGGCGAGGGAAGCUGGCCAGGACGUGCAUUUUCCUUCACUCAAGAAGAAGAGAAUGAGGAGAAAGAACAUCUAAUAUUUUCAAUAAACUGUAUAUAUUGUACAUAUUGUAUAUUAUAUUUUGUUAAUUUAUAUGUAAUGUUUUAAUAUUAAAAACUUUGAAUUAAAA